GAAAUGCGAUAAGUAGUGUGAAUUGCAGAAUUCAGUGAAUCAUCGCAUCUUUGAACGCACAUUGCGCCCCUUGGUAUUCCAUGGGGCAUGCCUGUUCGAGCGUCAUUUGUACCCUCAAGCUCUGCUUGGUGUUGGGUGUUUGUCCCCGUCUCCGCGCGUGGACUCGCCCCAAAGUGAUUGGCAGCCGGCGUACUGGUCCCGGAGCGCAGCACAUGUCGCGCAAACGAGUGCCUUGGUACGGCGGCGUCCAUAAGCCCCUCUCUCACGCUCUUGACCUCGGAUCAGGUAGGGAUACCCGCUGAACUUAAGC
rnacentral:misc_RNA from 1 species